rnacentral:rRNA from 1 species
AUAUUAUUAAGGGGAGGAAAAGAAACUAACAAGGAUUCCCCCAGUAACGGCGAGUGAAGCGGGAAGAGCUCAAAUUUAAAAUCCUUCGGUCUAACAGCCGAGGGAGUUGUAAUCUAGAGAGGGUCUCUCAGGGCCAGCCUGGUUAUAAGUCCCUUGAAACAGGGUGUCAAAGAGGGUGAGAACCCCGUCUUAGAACCGGAGCUAAGUCCGUACGAGGAUCUUUCCAAGAGUCGCGUUGCUUGGGAGUGCAGCGCUAAAUGGGUGGUAAAGUUCAUCUAAAGCUAAAUAUUGCCGGGAGACCGAUAGCGCACAAGUA